GCCUACACAGAAAGCAGCCAUGGGAGACUUGCCGAGGACUUUGUCCACCAAGUGAUGAAAGCAUGCAAAUGCCUCCGAAUCAAAGAAUUCAAUCCACGUUACUCCAUUGCCAUUUGUUACCACGUCCUUCAGUCUCCUCAAUCUCUCAGUCCCCUUAUUUUUCGUGACCUUGACAACUUUGAGGAGGACUCAUCAGCCCUCAGAGAUUCCUUCUCCUCGCUGCUCCUCCUCUCCCAGUUCCUGCCCAGGCUGACUCUAUCAUACAAGCUGUAACUUCUGCCAGUCCUAUCAGCCAGCAAACAACAAAGCUGCAGCACUGCCAAGGACAUGGAUCUCUCAAGCUCCUGUCUGGCACAUUGCAGGAAGUAAGGGGCAUGUCUAACCACCACGCUCAGCCAAGCCAAAGAACAAAGGCAGCGGCACUCUCUCUGGACCUUGGGGAAUAACACAGCCCUCCCAGGCAGAAGAUGCAAGCAUUCCUGUUGCAGUGCAAUUAGGAGCAGCGAAGAAACUCAGACAUGUGCCCCUUCUGUGUUGGCAACUGAUAUGACAGAACUUCAUGAGGUGCAAAAUACAGGCUGUGUGUGUGUGUGUGUGUGUGUGUGCACACUCGGUGCUAUAUGCUGCAGCCCAAGUUUCAGAGUGAUUUUUAACUUGAAGCUGAUGAGAUGGGAUAUUGUGUCUUUUUUAAAAAUGUAACCAACAA
rnacentral:lncRNA from 1 species